UUUAAUAAUUUUUUAAAUCUCUCAAAAUAAUAAUAAUUAUCCGCUUGCUAUCAUUUUCCCCUUAAUCCCUAUUACUUUUCAUCGAAACAAACUCUGGGUCUGUUUUGUCUACACUCUACACCGCGUGAUUGCUGGAUUGAGAGUAAACAUCAAAUACCUCAUGCCUACCUUUGUCCCCAUGAAAUAUGACUACUGUUGAGUUGUAAGAUAAUGACAUCAUGCUAUAUAUAAUUCUUGCACAAAUCUUUUUGAUACUGAAUCACUAAGAUAAGCUUAAUUAUAGAAAAUUUAAAUAAUUUGUACGAAAUCUUAUGUUUAAAUCACUAAAAUCAGCCUAAUAAUAGAAGAUUUAAAUAAUUUAUAUGAAAUUUUAUGUUCAAAUUUGACAUAACUAAAAAAACACAUGAGAUAUAUAGCUUUCAAAAAAAG
rnacentral:lncRNA from 1 species